GGAGGGGUGGCCGAGCGGACGAAGGCGGCAGUCUCGAAAACUGUUGGGCCGGGUUUCCGGUCCCGUGGGUUCGAAUCCCACCCCCUCCG
rnacentral:tRNA from 1 species